rnacentral:misc_RNA from 1 species
AACGCACAUUGCGCCCGCCAGUAUUCUGGCGGGCAUGCCUGUCCGAGCGUCAUUUCAACCCUCGAACCCCUCCGGGGGGUCGGCGUUGGGGAUCGGCCUCCCUCUGCGGGGGCCGUCUCCGAAAUACAGUGGCGGUCUCGCCGCAGCCUCUCCUGCGCAGUAGUUUGCACACUCGCAUCGGGAGCGCGGCGCGUCCACAGCCGUUAAACACCCAAACUUUCUGAAAUGUUGACCUCGGAUCAGGUAGGAAUACCCGCUGAACUUAA